GACAUUGGAUCCUUUUUGAAGCUGCUGACUAAGGAUAAGGUCAAAACUUUGUGUCUGCACAAACAGACAGCACUGCAACGGCCCUGGCUUCAUGUGUACUACAGUGCUUGGAAACUGUAGAACAGGGACAGAAGGCACACCCUCGAUUUGAAGUAUGAAUAGGAGGGCAUGCCCAAAGCAGAUCUGUCCCUUAACACCCUAAGCCUCGUGCGGUUUGUAGCCUUUCAUCCUGGCUCUGACUUCACGCUCGACUCGUCCAUCCAACCUCAGCGUCUGAUAAAUAUACCACUGAGGUUGCAAAGGGAUUAUUGUUACACAUCCAGCAUUCUUAACAAACUGAAACCAGGAGGUCUGCCUGCUGGGAAAUUGUUUUUACAAACAUACAGUAUUUUUCUUCAGCAGAUAUUCUCACUAUGUUUAAUUCAGUUGUCAGCAUGUUUUCCAUCAUUCCAUAUUUGUUUUGCACCUGUGUUUCAGCUCAUUCUUGCCUCCCUGACUGCUGCUCUCCUGGGCUUGACCCUCACCUUGACAUCUCUCUUGGUUCUAGAGGCCAACUGUAUGUCACGCAGUGUGGAAGCAGACAGCUGCUUGUACACUGUAAUGUUUUCCAGCAGAAGACUCACAGCUGAAGCGGCAGAGCUGACUGCUGUGUAAUUAUUUGUAAAAGUGCACUGAUAAGCAGGAGACUCAAAGCAACAGUAGUCUUCAGCUGAAGCCGUGUUCCCUGAGUCAGCACAUCCCAGCGACUGAACCUUGACUGCUUCUUCUGCCUGUUCAGUGCCUGCUUGUGUUAUUUUGACCUACACAAACUCUCUAAAGAGCAAAGAGGAGAAACUGAACUGUGAAUCAUUUUUCAACAACUGGCUGCAAAUAUAACAUAAUAUAAGUUAUUUUCUCCUGAUGAACA